rnacentral:rRNA from 1 species
CGGAAUGACGGCGCGCGUGCUUAACACUUGCAAGUCGAACGGUGAACACGGAGCUUGCUCUGUGGGAUCAGUGGCGAACGGGUGAGUAACACGUGAGCAACCUGCCCCUGACUCUGGGAUUAGCGCUGGAAACGGCGUCUAAUACUGGAUACGAGUAGCGGCCGCAUGGUCAGUUACUGGAAAGAUUUUUUGGUUGGGGAUGGGCUCGCGGCCUAUCAGCUUGUUGGUGAGGUAAUGGCUCACCAAGGCGUCGACGGGUAGCCGGCCUGAGAGGGUGACCGGCCACACUGGGACUGAGACACGGCCCAGACUCCUACGGGAGGCAGCAGUGGGGAAUAUUGCACAAUGGGCGAAAGCCUGAUGCAGCAACGCCGCGUGAGGGAUGACGGCCUUCGGGUUGUAAACCUCUUUUAGCAGGGAAGAAGCGAAAGUGACGGUACCUGCAGAAAAAGCGCCGGCUAACUACGUGCCAGCAGCCGCGGUAAUACGUAGGGCGCAAGCGUUAUCCGGAAUUAUUGGGCGUAAAGAGCUCGUAGGCGGUUUGUCGCGUCUGCUGUGAAAUCCCGAGGCUCAACCUCGGGCCUGCAGUGGGUACGGGCAGACUAGAGUGCGGUAGGGGAGAUUGGAAUUCCUGGUGUAGCGGUGGAAUGCGCAGAUAUCAGGAGGAACACCGAUGGCGAAGGCAGAUCUCUGGGCCGUAACUGACGCUGAGGAGCGAAAGGGUGGGGAGCAAACAGGCUUAGAUACCCUGGUAGUCCACCCCGUAAACGUUGGGAACUAGUUGUGGGGUCCAUUCCACGGAUUCCGUGACGCAGCUAACGCAUUAAGUUCCCCGCCUGGGGAGUACGGCCGCAAGGCUAAAACUCAAAGGAAUUGACGGGGACCCGCACAAGCGGCGGAGCAUGCGGAUUAAUUCGAUGCAACGCGAAGGAACCUUACCAAAGGCUUGAACAUAUAACGGAGGAAACGGCCAGAAAAUGGUCAACUCUUUGACACUUAGAUCUAGA